GCUUUGGCGGCUCCGGCCGCCAAAGGACCUCCAAACUCCAGUCAGUAAACGCAGACGUCUGAUAAACAAGUUAAUAAACUAAAACUUUCAACAACGGAUCUCUUGGUUCUGGCAUCGAUGAAGAACGCAGCGAAAUGCGAUAAGUAAUGUGAAUUGCAGAAUUCAGUGAAUCAUCGAAUCUUUGAACGCACAUUGCGCCCCUUGGUAUUCCGGGGGGCAUGCCUGUUCGAGCGUCAUUACAACCCUCAAGCUCUGCUUGGAAUUGGGCACCGUCCUCACUGCGGACGCGCCUCAAAGACCUCGGCGGUGGCUGUUCAGCCCUCAAGCGUAGUAGAAUACACCUCGCUUUGGAGUGGUUGGCGUCGCCCGCCGGACGAACCUUCUGAACUUUUCUCAAGGUUGACCUCGGAUCAGGUAGGGAUACCCGCUGAACUUAAGCAUAUCAAUAAGCGGAGGAAAAGAAACCAACAGGGAUUGCCUUAGUAACGGCGAGUGAAGCGGCAACAGCUCAAAUUUGAAAGCUGGCCCUUUUAGGGUCCGCGUUGUAAUUUGUAGAGGAUGAUUCGGCGAGGGCUCCUGCCUAAGUCCCCUGGAACGGGGCGUCAUAGAGGGUGAGAAUCCCGUAUGCGGUAGGUUGCCUUAGCCAUGUGAAUCUCCUUCGACGAGUCGAGUUGUUUGGGAAUGCAGCUCUAAAUGGGAGGUAAAUUUCUUCUAAAGCUAAAUACUGGCCAGAGACCGAUAGCGCACAAGUAGAGUGAUCGAAAGAUGAAAAGCACUUUGGAAAGAGAGUUAAAAAGUACGUGAAAUUGUUGAAAGGGAAGCGCUUGCAACCAGACUUGUCCGCAGUUGCUCAGCCGGUCUCCUGACCGGCGUACUCUUCUGCGGCCAGGCCAGCAUCAGUUCGGGCGGUCGGAUAAAGGCCUCGG
rnacentral:rRNA from 1 species